rnacentral:rRNA from 1 species
UGGGGAAUUUUGGACAAUGGGCGAAAGCCUGAUCCAGCAAUGCCGCGUGUGUGAAGAAGGCCUUCGGGUUGUAAAGCACUUUUGUCCGGAAAGAAAUCCUUGGCUCUAAUACAGUCGGGGGAUGACGGUACCGGAAGAAUAAGCACCGGCUAACUACGUGCCAGCAGCCGCGGUAAUACGUAGGGUGCAAGCGUUAAUCGGAAUUACUGGGCGUAAAGCGUGCGCAGGCGGUUUGCUAAGACCGAUGUGAAAUCCCCGGGCUCAACCUGGGAACUGCAUUGGUGACUGGCAGGCUAGAGUAUGGCAGAGGGGGGUAGAAUUCCACGUGUAGCAGUGAAAUGCGUAGAGAUGUGGAGGAAUACCGAUGGCGAAGGCAGCCCCCUGGGCCAAAUACUGACGCUCAUGCACGAAAGCGUGGGGAGCAAACAGGAUUAGAUACCCUGGUAGUCCACGCCCUAAACGAUGUCAACUAGUUGUUGGGGAUUCAUUUCCUUAGUAACGUAGCUAACGCGUGAAGUUGACCGCCUGGGGAGUACGGUCGCAAGAUUAAAACUCAAAGGAAUUGACGGGGUCAUAGCU